AUUGAACGCUGGCGGCAUGCUUUACACAUGCAAGUCGAACGGCAGCGCGGGCUUCGGCCUGGCGGCGAGUGGCGAACGGGUGAGUAAUGCAUCGGAACGUGCCCAGUAGUGGGGGAUAGCCCGGCGAAAGCCGGAUUAAUACCGCAUACGACCUGCGGGUGAAAGCGGGGGACCGAAAGGCCUCGCGCUAUUGGAGCGGCCGGUGUCGGAGUAGCUCGUUGGUGGGGUAAAGGCCUACCAAGGCGACGAUCCGUAGCUGGUCUGAGAGGAGGACCAGCCACACUGGGACUGAGACACGGCCCAGACUCCUACGGGAGGAAGCAGUGGGGAAUUUUGGGCAAUGGGGGCAAGCGUGAUCCAGCCAUGCCGCGGGCGGGAUGAAGGCGUUCGGGUUGUAAACCGCUGUUGGUCGGGAAGAAAUCCUGUGGGCUAGUACCCCGGGGUGAUGACGGUACCGGAAGAAUAAGCACCGGCUAACUACGUG
rnacentral:rRNA from 1 species